rnacentral:rRNA from 1 species
GCGUGUCGUCAGCUCGUGUCGUGAGAUGUUGGGUUAAGUCCCGUAACGAGCGCAACCCUUGUCCUUAGUUACCAGCACGUUAUGGUGGGCACUCUAAGGAGACUGCCGGUGACAAACCGGAGGAAGGUGGGGAUGACGUCAAGUCAUCAUGGCCCUUACGGCCUGGGCUACACACGUGCUACAAUGGUCGGUACAAAGGGUUGCCAAGCCGCGAGGUGGAGCUAAUCCCAUAAAACCGAUCGUAGUCCGGAUCGCAGUCUGCAACUCGACUGCGUGAAGUCGGAAUCGCUAGUAAUCGUGAAUCAGAAUGUCACGGUGAAUACGUUCCCGGGCCUU